rnacentral:rRNA from 1 species
UACGGGGGGAGCAAGCGUUGUUCGGAAUUAUUGGGCGUAAAGAGCUCGUAGGCGGUUUGUCGCGUCUGCUGUGAAAACUCGGGGCUUAACUCCGGGCCUGCAGUGGGUACGGGCAGACUAGAGUGCGGUAGGGGAGACUGGAAUUCCUGGUGUAGCGGUGAAAUGCGUAGAGAUCCGGAGGAACACCAGAGGCGAAGGCGGCCUACUGGGCUGCACCUGACGCUGAGCCGCGAAAGCCAGGGGAGCGAACGGG